UGCUUCCAGCUCUGAGCUCUUUAACUGGAAGUGGAGGCUGAGUUGUAAGCUGCCCCCUCCCCGUUCUGCCCCCACCCACUUCUUUCUCGCCCUCACAGUUUUCCUAACUCAGGGCUUUUGGGCUUGCUGUUCCCUAGUUGGAAUGCUAUUCUUCACAUCUUCAAGUACUUGGCUCCUUCUCGUCAUUUAUAGCUCAGCUUAAUGGUUACCUCCUUAUCGAGGCCUCUCUGACCAUCCAAGCUGGAGCCCUGGCUGCCGGAGAGGAAGGGUGCCUGUUCCCCCAUUCCAACGAGGAGGCUAGGGGUCAGCACAGCUUGGAUCACGUGUCCACUUGCACAGCCCAAGGGUGAACAGCAUAACAGGCCGAUCAUAAUUUUGAUUUCCUAUCCCAAACCCAAAUGGCCCUAACUUGCGAGAGAAAGCAGUUCCUGUGGAUGAACAAGCGAAGCGCGUGGGUGCCGAGAUGCUCCUGUCGGACACAAAAGCCCCUCUGUGGCUCUGUGGGAGCCGGCCCCUCCCACCGCUCCGCACGGAGAAAGGGCACGCACUGAGCUCGCGCUCUGCUUCACUCGCCCGGAUUUGUAAACAACCGAAGCAUAACACAAACAAGUUGGGGUUUUUUUAGCUUGCUGGUGUUUUUAA